GCUGUGGUGGUGUAGUGGUCAGCAUGUCUGCCUUGCAAGCAAGAAGACCCGGGUUCGAGUCCUGGCUGCUGCA